CAAAGUUUUCUUAUUCGUUAUGCUACAGCACUGUAGUUAUAAUAAUCGUUCUUUAUUAUCAAUUCUUUCAUUGCAUCAGUUAUCUUGCCAAUGUUACCAUUACAAGCCAUAGAUAAAGCUUUUAGUAAAACAGCUAUACCGUUGAAACUGUUAUAUUCAUACUAAGUCUUUGUAUUCACUCUGAUUAAGAGGCAAACGUAAAUAUUAUGAUGCCAUGAAAGUGUGUAUUGCGGAUCGUGUAGAUAGUAUACGGAUGUUAGAAGUUCAUGUAACACGCUAAUGUACUGCUUUCUUUUUGGAGCUCAUGGAAGUCUUUCGAUGAAAAAGUACAUUUUAAUAUAGAUUUAAGCCUGUUGGAUUGCAUCGUUCAAAUAACAGAAUAUAUAUUUAUGUAAUAGGCCAGCGAUGAAUUCUUUAUGUUUUCGGGUAACCUCUUAUCAUAAAUUAUAUUUUAAUCUGAAAUUUCAAAUUCAGUUUUGGACUAAGUAACGAUGUAGUAGAUCACGACUUAGGAUAGGUACACAUGCACGCGCACACACACACACACACACACACACACACGCACACAUACACACGCUCUCACACACACACAUACACACACAAACACACACACAUCCGCAAAUACACACACAUAUAUGCAAACACGAGCGCGCCCGCAAACAGACACACACAUAUAUAUGUGCACAUGAACACAUCCAUUCAUCCGUCCAUCUAUCCAACCAUACAUACAUACACGCAUGCAUAAAUGUAUGUAUACACACAGACACACACGUACGUACGUACAUACAUACAUACAUAAUACAUACAUACAUACAUACAUACAUACAUACAUACCUCUAUUAUAAGUGCAACACAUCUCACCUGUUAGACUUUGCUUUUGCCAUUCAAAAAACAGCCGAAAGCUAAUAAGUACCUAAUCAAAAUGAAAAAUAUCAAUGCGCCUCUAACUCUAGACUCUCAUCAAAUCAUCAACUAUAGCUAUGUCGACCAAUGUGAAUGGUAUCACACUCGUAAUUAUUAGCUGUCCAAAAUUCCGGAAAUACAUUAGCUGCCCAUGAGACAUAUCAUUUCUUGCAAGACGUUUACAAUAGUUUAUACAAGAAGCAUUGCCUCCGUGGCUAAAUCAGCAUCAAACCUAAACCACAAAGUUUAUACGCUUUUAGAAAGUAAAGAGCGGUCUUGGCAUGUUCAAAUAAAAAUUGUAAACAGGUGAAAACACAAAAACCCGAUUUUGUUUCUUUUCCCCGAGGCGGAGUAAAAUCCGUGCAUCAUUGUGAUCAGCAGCCAAAGUGGCGGAAACGGACAACUUCUUUGUGGAAUUAAUAAGAAAGAAUUCAGACCCUGCACAGUAAAUUACGACGUAUCGUAAACAAAUACGUCCAUGUAAACAACAAGACCGUAGAGAGAAAAUAAUAUGUAAAUUUAGUUGACACUGUUAUCUGUAAGUUCCUUAACAUUAAAUAUCCUUAUACUUCUCUCUAUCAAAAUGACUGCACCGCUGUUCUGCUGAGACAUCUCCGUAAGAAAAGAAGCAUUUUAUUACAAAGAACCAUUUCGUGAAAUUAUUUCGUAUUUGCUGUGAAUCUACUGACAGUGUGGAUUUUAUGUGUCCAUGAUAUAAACUCUACUGACCAAUUGAUUCUUUUCGCAUAUUUGACGAUUUGACAACAUUCACUACUCAAACUCUUCUUAUACGUGUAGUCUAGCAGGAAAAUAUUUUACUGAGAAUUUUUAUUGUAGCGAAAGGUCGUCCCACGUUCAAGUAUACUUAAUGUGCUGAAUACACGUUUACAUAAAUAUA